ACCUAAAUCUCAAAUGUGCCAGUAGUUAUCUCACUGCUGAAUUUCAAGCUGUGGAGACAUGCUGGUGGUGUGCUGGACAGCUGUGCCAUCUAGAUGAAUGACUUUGGAACAAGAUUCUGAUAGUAAGGAGACAAAAAUCAUUGAGUAUGAUAGACUUCCAAAAACCUUGGUAUCUUAGACAAGAGGUUAGAAAAACUACUGCCCAUAGACCAAAGCCAGCUAGCUGCCUAUUUUUGCAAAUAAAAGUUUUACUGGACUGAAGCCACACUCAUUUAUCUGUUGCCUGUAGCUAUUCUAGUGUGCAAUGACAGGUCAUUGCAAGGGAGUCUGCCUCACAGUACCUCAAAUACUUAUUACCUGUUUCUUCACAGAAAAGUAUGCUGACCUCUGGUGUAGACUAAAGAGCAGACUAGAUGUAAGUAGCUGGUAUCAUAUGUGAUUAUUUUCAUGACUAGAGAAUUUUUAAAUGGUUUAUAUAAGAUCAUGCUACCUAAGAAACAAAGGGAGGAGAUCUGGGAAGGGAGCCUCCGUUCCCCUAGGAAUGAUCCUAGAACUCCCUUUGAAACUGCUGGAUUCUCUCAGCAUUUGGACAGUACCCCACAGUAGCUCUCAACUGACUGACCAUGAGCUGCUUAUUGUGUGGAUGACAGUUCCAAGGUAAAUGGACAACAACUUAUUUGAGAGAAUGCCACCUGAUUAAAGAAGCCAAAAAUAACCUGGCAGACUGAAUAAAAUGCUGAAAAAUUGAAGACCCAUUUGGGGGUCUUCACCGACUUACAAGCAGUGGCCAAUGACCUGGCCACAUGGUCAUGUAGAAAGCAAUGAGAACCUGGCCUAUUAAAGAAAUGCCCAUGUGAGCCACAGCCCUAUAGAAAUUUGAGGGGUACAUUUAAGAUGUCCACCAAAAGAACUUGCCAAAGAAUUGUCAAGCAGAUAUCCAUGUGUUGUCACUUUAAGUUGGCUCCUGGGUUCAUUUAAUCAGAAGACAUGGUGGGAGAUGCAGCAGUGAAAGUGGACUGAAUCUAGACAUGUUCCUCUCACACCCUUUGAAACACAAAAUUGCAACAAGAACCAGCAAAAGGGAUGAAAGACAUGAUGGCUAUGUGCAGCUUCCUUGGUGGGAAGGCCUUCAUCAGAGCUGGCAAGUGAGACUGAUGUUGUUAGCCCCAGGGGGGUCCUGACAGGAAUAGAUACCAAUUCCAGACUGGGCUGUUUAGCCAGUGAAGGAUACAAACAUUAAGAAGACUCAGCGCAGAAGACACUGCCUGAGUUUAGACAACCAAUCAUCAUUGCUUCAAACCAAAGAACACACUCUAUAGCUCAUAACAUUCAACGCUGGGCAGAGAGACAUCCUCAGAGUAACAGUUUUAGGAGUAGAUCACCUAAAGUGGAGAGAGAACAGCAUGGAGGAUUGGCUUCCACCUUCUCACACACUUGGCCUGAGAGGUACUAGA
rnacentral:lncRNA from 1 species